rnacentral:rRNA from 1 species
GGUGAACGCUGGCGGUAGGCCUAACACAUGCAAGUCGAACGGCAGCACAGUAAGAGCUUGCUCUUACGGGUGGCGAGUGGCGGACGGGUGAGGAAUACAUCGGAAUCUACUUUUUCGUGGGGGAUAACGUAGGGAAACUUACGCUAAUACCGCAUACGACCUACGGGUGAAAGCAGGGGAUCUUCGGACCUUGCGCGAUUGAAUGAGCCGAUGUCGGAUUAGCUAGUUGGCGGGGUAAAGGCCCACCAAGGCGACGAUCCGUAGCUGGUCUGAGAGGAUGAUCAGCCACACUGGAACUGAGACACGGUCCAGACUCCUACGGGAGGCAGCAGUGGGGAAUAUUGGACAAUGGGCGCAAGCCUGAUCCAGCCAUACCGCGUGGGCGAAGAAGGCCUUCGGGUUGUAAAGCCCUUUUGUUGGGAAAGAAAAGCAGCAGGUUAAUACCCCGCUGUUCUGACGGUACCCAAAGAAUAAGCACCGGCUAACUUCGUG